AGUGAACGCUGGCGGUAGGCCUAACACAUGCAAGUCGAACGGCAGCACAGGAGAGCUUGCUCUCUGGGUGGCGAGUGGCGGACGGGUGAGGAAUACAUCGGAAUCUACCUUUUCGUGGGGGAUAACGUAGGGAAACUUACGCUAAUACCGCAUACGACCUACGGGUGAAAGUGGGGGACCGCGAGGCCUCACGCGAUUAG
rnacentral:rRNA from 1 species